UUCACAGGUCACAGGCACGGACGGGGUUCGAACCCGCGAUCUUCGGUUUACGAGACCGACGCCUUACCACUUGGCCACCGCGCCUGGCAAUGUAAAUGGGGCACACUCUGGUGAUUUACCCCUGGUAUGAUGGGUGAUUAGUGUUUCUGCAAUUACCUGCUGCGACUCUGAAAGGACUAAAUUCCAGACUCCGUUCAAAAUAUAUAUUAUUUUGACCGUCUUGCAGCACGUAAUGUUUACCAAGAUCAGAUGAGAUGUGAACACAUUGUAAUCAAACUACACAUUGACAGAAUUAUUAUCUUCAGCCGAAUAUCCCCGAUGAUAUCCUCUGGGUUAAUGAAAUGUUUUAGGUGAUGUUUUAUUAAUUAUAUUUUUUGUGGGGUGGUGAAUUUAUAAAAAUCGCUCAAAUUUUGAAUGAAGUUUGGCGUACCUCUGUCACCUCGACGGGAAUCUCGAUCGGGACACAACCCGGAAGUAGCUAAAGUGGUUCACGGCAGAUGGGAAUUCCGUCUUUCCCAGAAACAUGGUAGCUACAGAUAGGAUGAUGUGAAAGUUGCAUGUUGUCUGGUGUGAACAAAGUGUGUCCGGAAGCAUCUCAUGCUUCUUUGACAGAUCUGAUCUGCUGCAGCUGAGCCUCCCUGUCUGCUUCGCCAUGCCGCUGGUGGUGGACGCCGUGUGGGCGCUGUGGAGCAUCGGAGCUGGCGUCUACGACUACUUCCACACCAGCGCCAUGGAGGAGAGGAUCCACACGCUGGAGAACGUCCUCUCCAUCCACCAGUUUGUGAUCGCGGGCCUGUCGGCAGGCCUCAUCCUGCUGAUGACCUACAUACUGUGGAGAAAACACUGAGAGCCCCCUUUUGACCGAGGCCAGGCACCCGCUAGAUGUUGUGUCGUCGCAGGAUAUCUCAUGUUUCCCAGGGUAGUUUCAUGCUGAUGUUGGCCAGAGAGACGGUUUGGAUUACGUGGCUGCUCCAAAGCGUGUUUAGUAACAGAUGAAGAUGAAGUCAGGAGCACUGAUGGGAAGAGAAACGAAGCUCCAUAAGGACUCCAUCAACAUGCGGUCUCUGAAACUCAUCCGGCACCCGUUCGGGUUGUGGGUCCGUCUCUCAGUGUCUGUUUGUCUGUAAUACUAAAACGAAAUCAUAACAGCUUCUUGAGGCAUCUUUUGCACUUUUUUUGCCAAGCUUGAAGGACGUCAGUGUGUUUUCAUUUCAAACAUCUUCCCAGUGUGUGACGAGAGGGCGAAGACUUUCUCUGAGCGCUUCAGGAUGAAAACUUUGGAUUCUGUUGGAUUAGUAUGUUGUUUUUUAACCUGUUAUCACAAGAUCACAACAUAAUGACCUCGAGAUCAACUGUUUUCUCAUGUUUACAACUGAAUCAUGUGAUUGUAGGGCUCCAUUAACCUCAGAUACUGAUGUAAUUAUCUCUCUCUAUAAUAACAAAUGAAGGUCAUCAUGUAACGUUCUCCUCUGUUCUCUUCCGAGAUUCCUCUUUCCAGUCCUUUAGUACUCGAGUCCGGUCUCGAGAUGUUUUUCGACUCGGACUUGUGCAUUUGGUCUUGCUGAAUAUUCUAGAUGGUUUCUGAUGUAACUUCCUCCGUUGAUGAAAAUGGGUAUUGAUUCAAAAUCCAUCAACAGCUGGCAUUACAGUACGUUCCUUUUCUGGACUCGAUCCUGACUCAGACUUUUACUACAGCGCCGCGUCUUUCUUGACAAGGUGAGAGGAACAUGCUGAAACCUACUUUGGAUAGUUUGUAGGAAACAACUCUGCUUUGAGAUUUGUGUCUAAAAAGAAAAACGGCCUCAUAAUGAACUCAGAUUGAUCUCAGGAGGUUAAAAACAAAACAUCAUAAUAAUUAAGUUGUGAUCUUGAGACGGCAGGCUUAGAAAACGAUGGCGGAUGUUUACAUGAUUUGUCACUUUGGGGGAGGGACCAUUUCCCACCAACGACUUUAUCCACUACUGGACUUUUUGAGGUAAAACUGUGUCGUCUUUAAUAGGUUUUAAUAGGUUUUAAUAGGUUUUAAUGCCUCGUGUCAGACGUCCCUCUGGUUGCACUUUUGGCUGCUGGUCUGUAAGUUUUCCUGGUUUGUGAGUGACGGACCUGGAUAAAGCACAUUAAACACUGUUAAGAAGUUCAAACACUGGGAUAUGGAUUCAUCCUCUAUGUGAUUUAUUCUUUAUGUUUCACGUGUGUGUUUUUAAUUUGUCCGUUAACAUUUUUACCGACGCAGUUUCCAGUUUGUCAUCCAAAUAUUUUGUUACUGAAUGUCAGAAAAAUGGUCCAACGUUUAAAUCAAGUUGUCACUUUCACUACUGUACCUGCUUACUUUCAUUCUCGUGUACUUGCUCUGACUACCAUGGCUACUAUUAAAGGGAAUAUGUUUGAAUAAUAAAUCAGAAUUUAAGUCCA